GGAGAGAUGCCAGAGCGGUCGAAUGGGACGGUCUCGAAAACCGUUGUAUGGGCAACUGUACCGAGGGUUCGAAUCCCUCUCUCUCCGCCA
rnacentral:tRNA from 1 species